rnacentral:rRNA from 1 species
AUUGAACGCUGGCGGCAUGCUUUACACAUGCAAGUCGAACGGCAGCGCGGGCUUCGGCCUGGCGGCGAGUGGCGAACGGGUGAGUAAUGCAUCGGAACGUGCCCAGUAGUGGGGGAUAGCCCGGCGAAAGCCGGAUUAAUACCGCAUACGACCUGAGGGGGAAAGCGGGGGACCGAAAGGCCUAGCGCUAUUGGAGCGGCCGAUGUCGGAUUAGCUAGUUGGUGGGGUAAAGGCUUACCAAGGCGACGAUCCGUAGCUGGUCUGAGAGGACGACCAGCCACACUGGGACUGAGACACGGCCCAGACUCCUACGGGAGGCAGCAGUGGGGAAUUUUGGACAAUGGGGGCAACCCUGAUCCAGCCAUGCCGCGUGCGGGAAGAAGGCCUUCGGGUUGUAAACCGCUUUUGUUCGGGAAGAAAUCCUCUGGGCUAAUACCCCGGGGGGAUGACGGUACCGGAAGAAUAAGCACCGGCUAACUACGUG